UCUGACCAUGUGGCCUUUUCUAUAAGAUUAGUAUUUUCUGGAAUAUCCUUUGAAGAGUGUUUGUCCUGAAUAAAAAAUCCAAUGAGAAGCAAAUUUUUUGUUUUCUAUGGCCUCACACAUGUGGACCGUACUCAUGAUUCUCAGCAUGUGGGGUUCACAGCUUUUUCCGUUCUGUAACUAGAGCCUGUAAGUCAAUGAAAGAUCCAGUCUAGAGGUCCAUGUCUGUUGUUAGUUCAUCUG
rnacentral:lncRNA from 1 species